rnacentral:rRNA from 1 species
UACAGAGGUCUCAAGCGUUGUUCGGAUUCAUUGGGCGUAAAGGGCGCGUAGGCGGCGGGGUAAGUCGGGUGUGAAAUUUCAGGGCUCAACCCUGAAACUGCACUCGAUACUGCUCUGCUUGAGGACUGGAGAGGAGACUGGAAUUCACGGUGUAGCAGUGAAAUGCGUAGAUAUCGUGAGGAAGACCAGUGGCGAAGGCGGGUCUCUGGACAGUUCCUGACGCUGAGGCGCGAAGGCCAGGGGAGCAAACGGG